AUCCAGGUAGCUUAAUGAAAAGCAACCAUAUUUUUAUGGGGUAUCUAGGUUCAAAUCCUAGUCUGGAUU
rnacentral:tRNA from 1 species